rnacentral:lncRNA from 1 species
UUUUUUUUUUUUUUUUUUUAAUUAGCCAAAUAGUAAGGCACUUCAAGGUACGGUACUGGUUUUCUCUACAGAGAGUGCUGAGAAAACUUCAGGGUAAAUUAUUCAAGAUAUUGACUAGGGAUGAGACAGCAGACUAGAAGAAGUUCUGUUUUGUAAAAACUGUCACCAUAUAUUGAUUAUUCUUAUUACUUAAUAAAACCACAUUUAAAGACUUGUUCAUAUGACUAGAUCCUCUAGUUGGCAUCUACACACAACCUGGCGAAAAAACUACCACCAUAUAGCUGCUAAUUUGAGCUUCCAAAUUGAAGGUUUCAAUGUUCAGUUAAGAUGCAAUUAGUUGAAAAUGAGGCAUUAUGUACCAAAAUCCCUGUGUCAGCUUUGAAACUUAAGCUUAUGAUGAAGUAAGACAUUCCCAAAUUGAAGUUAUGACUGCAUUCUCUUUUCCUCUCUAUGCCAAACAUGUGUUCAUAAUCCUUUCUACUUAUUAUUUCUUUACACAAAAUAGCAAAUUAGGUCCGUAUGAGACUUUUGGAUAAAUAAAACCAGAUCAUAACUGAUUUGGCCCUCCGCCUAUUUUGAUAUCUGCCAGUUUAAGCAGUGUGACCCUAAAAAUAAGGGUCAAGCUAAUUACAGUUGCUCAGAAAUCCAGAUUUUCCAGGUCUGAACCGGGUCCUGCCUGCCAGCUUGAAUUACUCGGUAUUCUUGAGUAUUUAAAACCCACUCUUAGGAAAAGGAUUUGAACUGAAAAACUCUAGUGGCAAACAGUAACUUCUUAGUUCUUGACUCCAUGCUACCACUUAAUCCCCAGCUUUCCUGUCUUACAGGGUAGUUGGACACAACCCAGAAGGUAAGAUUCAGCUAGAUUCUAGACAGGGUUUUUGGUGAGCUUGUGCCAUGGGAUAGGUGUCAUAUUUGGUCCCAAAGCUAUACUGGAGGUGGCAGAAUGUUUUUGCAUGUGACAGGAUGAAUCGGUGCAUCAGUGCUAGGAAUCAAGAAAAACUUCAGUGUAAGCUGCUCAGAGUAUCACUGCACUCCUACGGAAAUAAAGAUUUCAUCUGACACUGGCAAUAAAUGACAUCAUAUGAGAGCUGGAAAAGCAUAUGGAAAUAUAUGAAAGAUAAGAUUUUAAGGUUUAACUGACCUAUGAGUCAGUGGUGAGUUUCACACUUCAUCAUGGACUUGCUUUAUCAGCUUUGGCAUAACCCUUUGCCUUUAGUUUUUCUGGCUCCCUAUUUGUGAGAUAGAAUGAAUACCACACCAAGUGCGUGACUGAAUUAAGUUUUCUUUUAUAACCUAGCAAAGAGACACAGUACUCUUCUGGUUGGUAUUUGACUAAAGCUUGUAUUCUUUCAACCACAGUAGGUCAAGUUAAAUGAGAUCCACUUAUGUCCAUAGUGAUUAAAAAGGACAAUUGCUGCAUUAAUAUUAUUAAUCAUCAAGUCCACGAGCAAGCCUGUUCUGUUACUGGACAGUCAUUUCACUGCACUCUGAACUUUGUAUGUUACUUUGUACCUCAUCUCUCUGCCUGGGCACUCACUGAGACACAGAGACCCAUGGACCCUGCUGGUGCAUUAGAACAAAGAAAAAUACAAGAGCAGUUUUUGUUUUUGUUUUUGUUUUUUUUUUUUAAUCAAACCUUUAUAACCUAUUACAGCUAAAAAGCUAAUGAAAAUUUUGAGAAAGGAAUUGCUGUAUCUGUUUAAGUAUUUAAAAAUUAUUUUCUGUAGUUAAAUUCCUUGUUUUUAACUGUUAUCAAGGAAGGUAAGGAAGGUCUGUAGAUACAUUGGAAAAACUCUGGUGGUAGUAUUCCUUAUUUCUUAAUGAAGUUUUGUUUUGGUUUGCUAUUGUUUCUUCAUCUCCUAUCUGGUUAGAAUCCUUGAUCCAGUUUUAGAAUUUGAACUUUUAACUAUUUUUAUAUUCAGUAAACAAACACUGCAAAACCUCA